ACACUAGCUGUCUGUGUCAAGGCCACGCAGAAAUCUAUUGGAAAUCGCUGUGGAAACAAACGCAAAUGAAAAGCCGCAAAGAGCAAAGUUGCAGGCAACAGAAGCCAACUCUGGGUAACAAGCAAAAAGGGAAGGAGAAGGAUGCAAGGGCUGCUCAGAGAAUAGAUAAUAUAAUAAAUAUUAAUGACAAUAAUAUGAGACUGAAGACACCACAUGACGAAGGAAACUAAGAGAAUUACCAGUUGACCUACCUUUAAAGAAUGACUAAGGAUAUUCUUCAAAGGAAAUGAUAGCAGCAGGCAUAGAACUUUAGAAAGAAAGAAAGAACAACGGAAUGAGAAAAAAUAGGGCUGUACUGCCUCUUUUGAUCAAUUUGCCCCAUUCAUGGUUAUGCAUGCUGAUGGAGACUGCUUUUGAAGCUUCUUUAUUGAAGGAGCGGGAGAAGAGUAAGAAAGUUGGAGCAGACUAAGAAGACAGGAAAGAAAGAAAAGCAAAAGUAAGAUAGAGGCUCUGAACUAGUUACUGGACCUCUACCCGUGAACAAGGCAGACCCUGCCUUCUUGGAACUUGUGCUCUGGCAGAACGGACAAGCAUGAAACAAGUAAUUGCAACAUGAUUUACUGUGGUAAGAAUAUAAGAGAGGAGUGCUUGCCUUAAUCUCAGGUGUAAUGUUUGAGUUGAGAUCUGAGAGAGGAGUAGAUGUUAAUUAGGCAAAGAGCAGGCAUAGAAUAGGGGGCCUGGAAAUCUACCAGAUCUAAGUCACAGAACAGUCAGUGUAAAUACCCAGAGACAUUCCUUGAGACACAGAGGGGCACAGACACAGCAAGAGAACUGGGCAGGAGGCAAAGUCCACAUCAUGAUUAGCUGUAAUGCUUCCUCAGGAAGACAAGAACUCCUCACAGCAGAAACACAGGGCAGAGAAAUUUUUCUGCCCAACAGUUUGAACGGUCACCCUGCUUCAACAUGACAAAACAAGCCAACGAAAAUAUUUUACUCAGGACAAGUUU
rnacentral:lncRNA from 1 species